rnacentral:misc_RNA from 1 species
UAUCUGGGAUUGUUUCGACUAUC